AGCGAACGCUGGCGGCAGGCUUAACACAUGCAAGUCGAACGGGCGCAGCAAUGCGUCAGUGGCAGACGGGUGAGGAACGCGUGGGAACAUGCCCUUUGGUUCGGAAUAACUCAGGGAAACUUGAGCUAAUACCGGAUAAGUCCGAAAGGAGAAAGAUUUAUCGCCGAAGGAUUGGCCCGCGUCUGAUUAGCUUGUUGGUGAGGUAACGGCUCACCAAGGCGACGAUCAGUAGCUGGUCUGAGAGGGUGAUCAGCCACACUGGGACUGAGACAUGGCCCAGACUCCUACGGGAGGCAGCAGUGGGGAAUAUUGGACAAUGGGCGCAAGCCUGAUCCAGCCAUGCCGCGUGAGUGAUGAAGGCCUUAGGGUUGUAAAGCUCUUUUGUCCGGGAAGAUAAUGACGGUACCGGAAGAAUAAGCCCCGGCUAACUUCGUGCCAGCCGCCGCAGUAACAC
rnacentral:rRNA from 1 species